AUCAGAAACCCACUUUCCCCAAACCCCAUUUCCCUUCACGUCACCUCACCGCCAUUCUCUCCCUCUUCUUCUACCUUUCCUUUCCCUUUUUCCUUUUCCCUUCUUCUUCGAGUAACCCGCAAGGAACCAAGACCUCCAUUACCUUCUUCCUUCUUCUGAAAAUUUUGAGUACCUUCAAGCUAGAUUAAUUAUCUUCUCGUUAAUUCAGCUGGUCCUUUCGUGUUUCCUUCUCUCUGUGAAGCAAAAUCAGUGGCGGCCUUCACCGAACACGAACACCGCUUCUCACGGUGGUUCUACAACCAUUACCGGUGUUCCUUCUUCUUGUAAUUGUUGGUAUAAACCAACUAAGCUGAUUACAGAUCGGAUCCGGUCGGGAAUAAUCGGGUUAGCAAUGUUGAUGAGAGUGCUAAGAAUGUUCUUUUGAGCUGAGGCCGUGGAAGCUUCUAGUUUGUAUUAGGAAUUGUUUAAUGUAUAAUAGUUCUGAUUAGUUUUGAUUAUGUUGAUUAUAAUGGACAUGUAGUGAGUUGUAUGGUUACUUAAUGUUUAGAUUAGAUAUUCGGUUUGA